AAAUGCAACAUUUCUGCAUAGAAAUUGAAAACAUAUUUGUGUAUCAGACACACGAUUUAAAAAUACAAUGCAAACUGCAUAAAAAUAUUCACUUGCUUUCAAAAUACAAAUAGCUGCACCUUAUUGUUUGCACCUCUCAGAAACUUAGAGAACAGUAACACUCAGACUUAACUGUGUGUCAGUAAGGUACCCUUACCUUGCAAUGUUUAUAAACUACUACUGUUCUAGAGAGAACAGGACAGAAGGUAUCACAAACUUUACAGUAUGAUUUAGAAAUUUCACUUGAGAAGAUUUACAGAAUGAGAUAAGAAUGCAAAGAAGAAUGUAGCCAGAUGGCCUUCAUUGUUUAUAAUACUAAACAAAAAAUCAGAAAAAGCCCACAACAACCCUGAGAAAGAACACUAAGGCCUACAGAGAGGAUUAAGCGUGGCACAGACAUACUUUUCCUCAUAUUCAUUAAUAAGCUGACUUAGCUGUUCUUAAAAACUAGUGUAAGUAGAUGGUUUCAAAAUAUUAAAUUAAAAAAACUUUAUUCCGCAUCUUAAGUUGUACUACACAGAGAAAAAUAUUUAUUAAGAAAUCACGGAGCUUAAGAUUCGCGCACAUGUAUUUCAUAACUCAUUUUUUAAAGUAAAUGGAGAAAAGGAUACUAAUAUCCACAUAUUUGUUUAGAAAGCAUUUCUAUGCAGAUUUUGACAGUUUUCAAAUGAUUUUUCCCUUUUUGCUCCUCUGGACCUUCUAGCUGUCCUAUAGUGAACUUUUUUAUUUUUGGUAAGAGAAAAAACUGCUUUAAAAGAAGAAAGAAAAGGAUUCCCUCAAGUAGAAAUCUGCAUAGGCUGGCCCUCCCCAUUCUUACGGAGAGAGGAGUGAAGCGGGGCCCGCGCCAGCGCCCCAAGGAAUCGGAAACCCCUGAGGGCGGCCGCGAGAUGCGGCUUACACAAAGGGCCGGAGCCGGAGCCCCAAGACCCGCACCUUGGUCGAGAAUCCCCCGGGAUUUUCACGGCGGGUCCCGGGGACGGCUCGCGACGGGCAGGAACCCAGGGUCCGAGCGACUUCCAGAGGCUUCGGCCCCACUUGCCCCUGCGACGCUGGGCCCCUGGGCCGAGCUCUCUGCCCUGGCCGCUCGGGGGGCAGGCGGUCCAAGAGCCGCGCCCGACCGCUCGGCUCCUGGCGUUCUCACCGGCGGGGCUCCCAGGGCGCGAGGAGGCACACCGGGAGUUAAAAGCCCGGCGCUGCGCUGGGUCAGAGAGGUGGCGGCCCAUCGGCAGCCCGCCCCACCCCUAAGGGGCCCCGCCUGGCUGCACUGGACGCCUCCCGCCAAGGCCCCGCUCACCCUCCGGAGCGGGCGCUUCCCGCCGCGGCCCCUUCACUCACCCUCUCCCAGAAGGAGCCGAGGCCGCCUGCGGACCGAUGACGCCCCUCGCGGCACCGCCACCCCGGGAAGUCGGACUACAUUUCCCACAAAGCUUCGGAGGGGCGGAGCGGGGGCGUAGGAAUGCGCAGACGCGGGCCGCAGCGGGGCGGGGCGAUGCCACCGCCAAAGAAAGUGGUGGCUCCCAGAAUGGCCACUGCAUUUUGGUGGGCUUGUGGUUUGUCAAGCCAGGAGUCAGCGGCGCGGGGGCCUUACCCUCGCAACCCUGAAGAAGCCCCCUCAUUAGAGCUUCUGGAUUCCUAACCCAUGGGUAGGGGAGAAGGGGCAGCCAUCCUUUGCUAAGCCUCACUUUUCCUUUUCCGAAAUAAAAGGAGCCUAGAGGAGUCCCUUGCAAAGUUGUAGGAAGAAAGGGUGGAUUGGAGGCCAGCAAACC
ensembl:lncRNA